AGAGUUUGAUCAUGGCUCAGAAUGAACGUUGGCGGCGUGGAUUAGGCAUGCAAGUCGAGCGAGAAGUUUACUUCGGUAAAUGGACAGCGGCGAAAGGGACAGUAAUGUGUAGGUACCUACCCCCCGAUCUGGGAUAGCUGCGGGAAACUGCAGGUAAUACCGGAUAAUGUCUUCGGACCAAAGGUGUGAUUCCGUCAGGGGAGGGGCCUGCAUCCUAUUAGCUUGUUGGUGAGGUAAUGGCUCACCAAGGCAACGAUGGGUAGCGGGUGUGAGAGCAUGACCCGCGUCAUUGGGACUGAGACACUGCCCAGACAUCUACGGAUGGCUGCAGUCGAGAAUCUUCGGCAAUGGGCGAAAGCCUGACCGAGCGACGCCGCGUGCGGGAUGAAGGCCCUCGGGUUGUAAACCGCUGUCGUUGGGGAGGAAAUGCAAAAGGGUUAUCCCUUCUGUUUGACCGAUCCAAGGAGGAAGUACGGGCUAAGUUCGUGCCAGCAGCCGCGGUAAGACGAACCGUACGAACGUUAUUCGGAAUUACUGGGCUUAAAGGGUGCGUAGGCUGCACGGAAAGUUGGGUGUGAAAGCCCUCAGCUCAACUGAGGAAUUGCAUCCAAAACUGCCGUGCUUGAGGGAGACAGAGGUGAGCGGAACUCAAGGUGGAGCGGUGAAAUGCGUUGAUAUCUUGAGGAACACCGG
rnacentral:rRNA from 1 species